rnacentral:rRNA from 1 species
ACGAACGCUGGCGGCGUGCUUAACACAUGCAAGUCGAACGCCCUAGCAAUAGGGAGUGGCAGACGGGUGAGUAACGCGUGGGAACCUUCCCUAUGGUGCGGAAUAACUCGCCGAAAGGCGUGCUAAUACCGCAUAAGCCCGCAAGGGGAAAGAUUUUAUCGCCAUAGGAUGGGCCCGCGUAGGAUUAGCUAGUUGGUGAGGUAAUGGCUCACCAAGGCGGCGAUCCUUAGCUGGUGAGAGAAUGACCAGCCACACUGGGACUGAGACACGGCCCAGACUCCUACGGGAGGCAGCAGGUGGGGAAUCUUGCGCAA